UGGGGAAUAUUGCACAAUGGGCGGAAGCCUGAUGCAGCGACGCCGCGUGGGGGAUGAAGGCCUUCGGGUUGUAAACUCCUUUCGACAGGGACGAAGCUUUUGUGACGGUACCUGUAUAAGAAGCACCGGCUAACUACGUGCCAGCAGCCGCGGUAAUACGUAGGGUGCGAGCGUUGUCCGGAAUUACUGGGCGUAAAGAGCUCGUAGGUGGUUUGUCGCGUCGUCUGUGAAAUUCCGGGGCUUAACUCCGGGCGUGCAGGCGAUACGGGCUGACUUGAGUGCUGUAGGGGAGACUGGAAAUCCUGGUGUAGCGGUGAAAUGCGCAGAUAUCAGGAGGAACACCGAUGGCGAAGGCAGGUCUCUGGGCAGUAACUGACGCUGAGGAGCGAAAGCAUGGGUAGCGAACAGG
rnacentral:rRNA from 1 species